GCCGACAUGGUGAAAUUGGUAGACACGCUAUCUUGAGGGGGUAGUGACCGUAAGGUCGUAUGAGUUCAAGUCUCAUUGUCGGCACCA
rnacentral:tRNA from 1 species